rnacentral:lncRNA from 1 species
AGCUAGCGGUUCUCAAAAAAAAAAUGCAAAUUCAAUCCUCAUGUUGCCCCUCCCCAGCACAACAGGAAGAUCUUCUCUGGACAACUUAAGUAUUUGACCUUUUCAAAAAGUGCAGUAAAACAACCAUUCUUAUGACAAGAUUAGAAAGCACAAAACUUUGUAGAGUGGUUUAUUAAUCUACUCUAAUAAGUGUCAUUUCCAUAACUCAUAUGUCACUGAAUCAAGCAUGAUCUCCAAACACUUACCAUAGGGUCCUGAAAGCACAAUUCAGUCUUUUGCUUCAAAUCUCAUGUUUAAGGACAUUUCUCUUAAAUAGCUAAAUUUAAAUUCAACAUCAAUCUGAAAAAGAAAGUGACCAUUUUAUUUUUAAAAUAUUACUGAAAUGUUCAAGUCUUCUAUUAGCAUCUUUAUUCACAACAUAAAAAUAAAGUUUUAUUUCUUCCAGGUAAGUAUCUGCAAUCUCAAUGUAAAGUCCAGAGUUUAGUUUUUUAUUACAUUCGUGUUGCUUACAAUAGUCCACUGUUUUAGCAUAAGCGAUAAGGAAGCCCCCUUACUUCUUUCCUUCUGAGACCUCUACCUUGCCGCACUUUCUUCAGUCUGGUUCCAAUCGUAACGGCGGUUAAACAGUGGAAUGUCUCUUAAGAGUUUUACGGGGACUUGAACUAUUUCUGUAAUAUUUCGAUGGACACUCUCCGUGUGUAUGUUUUCCAGCUAGUUCACAGAGAAUUUACAGUAGUGGAAGGCUGCUGGAUUCUACUGAUCCAGCUAGAAUGAUCUAUUUUGGCUACCGAGCCAAUCAUACAAGACGUUCUUUGGAGUGUGUGUUUGCUGCUUCAAGAAUUUUGUGGAAACAGCCCUUUCUCUUAAAGAAAUCGUCACAUCAUUUAAUUUUAAGAAUACAAUUACAGUCGAUGGUAUAUGAGGACCUUGCAAAUCUCAGCAAAGGGACAAGAUAAAACCACUGUGGUUCAAAAGUUCAGAAUUCAAAGCAUCAAAGUAUAGGGCUGUAAGAAAGGAGAUUCCUCUGGGAUGGCCAUCAUUUCUUACAUUCCCACCAUCGCUUUGCUGGUUUGCUGUGAAAACCAUUCUCCCGGACCCCCUCAUUACAAUUUCUGCUGUGACCAGCCAUAGUCACUUGAAACUCCUGUUAAAAAGCAAGGC